rnacentral:rRNA from 1 species
GAUGAACGCUGGCGGCAUGCUUUACACAUGCAAGUCGAACGGCAGCACGGGGGCAACCCUGGUGGCGAGUGGCGAACGGGUGAGUAACACAUCGGAACGUGUCCAGUUGUGGGGGAUAACCCAUCGAAAGGUGGGCUAAUACCGCAUGAGCUGGCAACAGGAAAGCGGGGGACCCGCAAGGGCCUUGUGCGAUUGGAGCGGCCGAUGUCCGAUUAGCUAGUUGGUGGGGUAAAGGCCUACCAAGGCUUCGAUCGGUAGCUGGUCUGAGAGGAUGAUCAGCCACACUGGGACUGAGACACGGCCCAGACUCCUACGGGAGGCAGCAGUGGGGAAUUUUGGACAAUGGGGGCAACCCUGAUCCAGCCAUGCCGCGUGAGUGAAGAAGGCC